rnacentral:rRNA from 1 species
AUUGAACGCUGGCGGCAUGCUUUACACAUGCAAGUCGAACGGUAACAGGGACUUCGGUCUGCUGACGAGUGGCGAACGGGUGAGUAACAUAUCGGAACGUGCCCAGGUAAUGGGGGAUAGCUCGGCGAAAAGCCGGAUUAAUACCGCAUACGCCCUGAGGGGGAAAUGGGGGAUCUUCGGACCUCACGUUAUUGGANCGGCCGAUAUCGGAUUAGCUAGUUGNGGGUAAAGCCUACAGCGACGAUCCGUAGCUGGUCUGAGAGGAUGAUCCGCCACACUGGAACUGAGACACGGUCCAGACU